rnacentral:rRNA from 1 species
GACGUAGGGCGCGAGCGUUGUCCGGAUUUAUUGGGCGUAAAGAGCUCGUAGGCGGCUUGUUGCGUCGACCGUGAAAACCCGGGGCUCAACUUCGGGCUUGCGGUCGAUACGGGCGGGCUAGAGUUCGAUAGGGGAGACUGGAAUUCCUGGUGUAGCGGUGAAAUGCGCAGAUAUCAGGAGGAACACCGGUGGCGAAGGCGCUGCUCUGGGCCGAAACUGACGCUGAGGAGCGAAAGCUAGGGGAGCGAACAGG